UGAGGCAGACAAGUGGUCGCGUGCCGAUGAGGCAUGAGGAAAGUCCGAGCACCACAGGGCAGGGUGCCAGCUAACGGCUGGUGGAGGCGACUCCAAGGCAAGUGCAACAGAGAGAUACCGCCGUGUAAACGGUAAGGGUGGAAAGGUGCGGUAAGAGCGCACCGGCGGCCUGGCGACUGGCCCGUCAUGUAAACCCCACCUGGUGCAAGAUAAAGGGAAGCAAUGAAUGGCCCGUUCCGCUUCCGACCAUCGCUACAGCAGCCUGGUGACUGGCUGCGAAGAUAGAUGACCACUCACGACAGAACUCGGCUUACAGUCUGCGCUCAUUUU
rnacentral:RNase_P_RNA from 1 species